GACGAACGCUGGCGGCGUGGAUUAGGCAUGCAAGUCGGACGGUAGAGCUUUAUCGUAAGAUAGAGUUUGAGAGUGGCGAACGGGUGAGUAACACGUAGGAAUCUACCCUUAAGACGGGGACAACCCAGGGAAACUUGGGCUAAUACCGGAUGAGAGUGCGAGAGAUUGCAUUUAAAAGGAUGGCGAAAGUUGUCGCUUAGGGAUGAGCCUGCGGUCUAUUAGUUAGUUGGUGAGGUAAGAGCUCACCAAGGCGAUGAUAGAUAGGCGGCCUUAACGGGUGGUCGCCCACACUGGGAUUGAGAUACGGCCCAGACUCCUACGGGAGGCAGCAGUCGAGAAUAGUCUACAAUGGCCGGAAGGCUGAUAGUGCGACGCCGCGUGAACGAGGGAGCCCUUCGGGUGUAAACUGCUGUCGUGUAGGGAGAAGGGUACGUAAGGUGAACAAUCUUAGUACUUGACGGUACUACAGGAGGAAGACCCAGGCUAACCUCGUGCCAGCAGCCGCGGUAAGCUACG
rnacentral:rRNA from 1 species